rnacentral:rRNA from 1 species
UACGUAGGGGGCAAGCGUUGUCCGGAAUCAUUGGGCGUAAAGAGCGCGUAGGCGGCCCAGUAAGUCCGCUCUGAAAGUCAGGGGGCUCAACCCCUGAAUGCGGGUGGAUACUGCUGGGCUAGAGUCCGGAAGAGGCGAGUGGAAUUCCUGGUGUAGCGGUGAAAUGCGCAGAUAUCAGGAGGAACACCGAUGGCGAAGGCAGCUCGCUGGGACGUACUGAGCUGAGUGCGCGAAGCUAGGGGAGCAAACAGG